AGCAGUGCAGACUUUGACUAAAGCCAGGCACAUUUCAGUGGAGGGAGCCAACUGAAAGCUUCAUCCCUAGCUGAUAUAAACCCACACCUUUGUGGCUGGUACCAACUGAGCCAUGGAACAGAGAGGGUAAAUCCACCCCAAAGGGCAAGUGGAUGGAGCUGAGCUUUUCCUGCACAGACCUGUGAUAAGUGUAAUCAGCUGGAGCUGACACUGCUUAAUCUGGGCUGGCAGGAAGGCCAUUUAGCAGUAUGUCCUUGACAUGAGUAUCUCUCCUCUACAGUUAUCACAGAGCCCAGACUCACUGAGUUUCAGGGAAUGCAAUGUGGUUCAGAAGAGGAAUCUGAGUCUCUUGGCCUUUCCCUAUGGGAAUAUGCAUGUGCAGAAGGGGGAAGAUGGAUCUCACCCUGCUCAGAACAUGUAUUAUUGAUCUUGAGCAGCAGUGACUGCUACAGGAAGAUGGAUUGGCUGCUCUUUUUGACAAGAGUGAUGAGGCCAGGAUUUUCUCUUGUUAUAAUUGAUCAUGCUGGUAAGGGAAGGAUGAAGACUAAAGCUCCCCUUCUUUGGAAAAACACAGUCUACAUUUUCUUCUCUUCUGCUCCAAUUCAUUCACCUGUCUGUUGGGAUUGCAGACUGCUGGAACAUUUAAGCAGGCCAGGAGUGAAAGGAGAAAAACCCUUUUGUGAGCCAUCUCCGACUGAGCCCUCCUGGCACAGUGUGGCCUCAGAAGAGCAGUGUUUUAUAGACUUGUGAUUGUUUUCAUCAGUCCUCUUUGAGAAGACACUCUCCCACAGAAGUAAGACAAGAAAAUUGUGCCUGGAGCUGGAGUGGGGUUAGGGGUCAGCAGGCAGCCCUGUGUGACUCAGGGCUGAGGAAUGUGCAACCAGAGCCUGCUCCUGCGUGGGCACAGUCCUCCCAUGGCACCACUCUCUGCUCAGCAUCCAUCACUGGUGUCACCUGGGCUAACUGGAGCGGCUCCUGUGGCAUGCUGCAGUCCAGAAAUGGUUCCUAAGGCUUUCCCAGUGUUAUUCCCCAAUGUGUGGAGCAAACAGGAAACACUGGGUUUGGGUAGCCUCUUGGUCAGGUUCAUAGUCCCAUCCCAGUACAAGUGAUGGGUGAGGAAGGCUGCAGAUGGAAAAUAUACCAUCAGACCAGCUAUUUCAACUGGGAACAGUCUGUUAGCAGUGGUUUGCAGCUCCAGAUGGUUAUCCUGGUUUCUCAUCCCUUUCAGUCUCGCUGACAGAGGCUUCUGCCACCUCGGUUUCACCGGAUUCAUUUGCCCAGCUGUGUAAAAUGACCAAGUUUAAGUAACCCUGUUGACCUUCUAGAGAAGGGCUGCUCUGUGCUCCCUGCAGAGAAGAAAUUCCUGGAGAUGAUGAUGUAAGCCUGGUCAGAAAUAUGGUCUUUCUUUCCACAGCUUUUUGCCAGAUCACAUUUUUUUUUACUGUCUCAAAACCAGAGAAAUAUUAGUGAAUAUUAUUUGCGGAUAAUGCCACAGGAGUUGGCUAGUUCUCUUUAAUGCCACAGGAGUUGGCUAGUUCUCUUACUUUGUAGGAACUCUUUGUGUCAAAUGCUCCCAGCAAUUGCUAACAUUAACUCAAGCAGUGUGACAGAUGAUGUAAAAGAAAGUUUUAUUACCUUUGAUUCUCAGAGGUGCCCCAAAAUACCCAGGCCCACCCAAGGCCUCUUUCAAGCUGCACUGUGAAGCAGGAGCUGGUUGAAACACAGAGCCUGUUGUGCAGGACCAGCUGUG
ensembl:lncRNA